rnacentral:rRNA from 1 species
GACGAACGCUGGCGGCGUGCUUAACACAUGCAAGUCGAACGGUGAACUCCGCUUGCGGGGGGAUCAGUGGCGAACGGGUGAGUAACACGUGGGCAACCUGCCCUCAGCUCUGGGAUAACUCCAAGAAAUUGGGGCUAAUACCGGAUAUGACCGCUGACCGCAUGGUCUGGUGGUGGAAAGAUUUAUCGGCUGGGGAUGGGCCCGCGGCCUAUCAGCUUGUUGGUGGGGUAGUGGCCUACCAAGGCGACGACGGGUAGCCGGCCUGAGAGGGUGACCGGCCACACUGGGACUGAGACACGGCCCAGACUCCUACGGGAGGCAGCAGUGGGGAAUAUUGCGCAAUGGGCGAAAGCCUGACGCAGCGACGCCGCGUGGGGGAUGACGGCCUUCGGGUGGUAAACCUCUUUCAGCAGGGACGAAGCGAAAGUGACGGUACCUGCAGAAGAAGCACCGGCCAACUACGU